rnacentral:rRNA from 1 species
UGCUUAAUUCGAGGCAACGCGAAGAACCUUACCUAGGUUGAACUAUGCAGGAAAAGCCACAGAGAUGUGGUGUCCUUCGGGGCCUGCGAUAGGUGGUGCAUGGCUGUCGUCAGCUCGUGUCGUGAGAUGUUGGGUUAAGUCCCGCAACGAGCGCAACCCUUGUCCUAUGUUGCCAGCGGGUAAAGCCGGGGACUCGUAGGAGACUGCCGGGGUCAACUCGGA